rnacentral:lncRNA from 10 species
UUUAAUGCAACAAAGGCCUGGAUAAGGACAUAAAAAAAGAACUGACAAGAGGAGACAGUCCUCUAAAGACAAUGGUCAGGCCAGCCGUGGGGCUCACGCCUGUAAUCCCAGCACUUUGGGAUGCCAAGGUGGGCAGAUCACCUGAGGUCAGGAGUUCGAGACCAGCCUGCUCAACAUGGCGAAAGCCCGUCUCUAUUAAAAAUACAAAAAUUAGCCAGGUGUGGUGGCGGGCACAUGUAAUCCCAGCUACUGAGGAAGCUGAGGCAGGAGAAUCACCUGAACCAGGGAGGUGGAGGUUGCAGUGAACUGAGAUCAUGCCAUUGCACUACAGCCUGGGCAACAAGAGCAAAACCCCAUCUCACAAAAUAAAAAAUAAAAGACAGUGGACAAAGUAGAGCCCAGUGAAUUAGCAAAUCAAUCUAACACGACAAAUCUCUGCUCUCACCAUCCUCAUUGCCAGGGGCCAGGGCCAGAAAUGGAAGCAGAUGUUACAACAGAAUGGCCAGUGUUCUGGCGAGGGUAAAACCAGGACAUCGUGGGAGCCCUGACUAACCUGAGAGGGUCAGGGGAGGUGUCCAGGAAGAGGAAACUUGGAGGAGCAUUUUGAAGGGGGCGCGUGAUAGCCUCCAGGUGGAGAAGAGGAAGGAAGAUUGCCAGGCAGAUGGAAGAGCACAGCGAAGGCCCAGGGGCAGCUUAUUCCAGCUUGGGUGGCCCAUCAGGCCAAUAACCACAGUAACAACAAAAGGACUUUUCUCGCACUGGCACAUGGAUCACAGCUUUACAAAUGCCACAUCCUCAAGAAACCACAGCAGACAGUUCCUGCCUCUUCCUCCACCUCCUCCUGAAUCAGAAGGGAAGUGAGAUUUCUAUUUGCCUGGCGUGCACAACCCUCCAUAGUUUACACCUGGUACAGCUCUUCAGUUCAUCAACAUUUACUGAGCCCCACGUGUCCCAGGUGUAGAAGGUCCUUUAUUUUCUUACGCUUUUUAUUUGCAUAAUAUUCGCUUUUAGACACACCGCCUUGGUCCCUGAAGUGGACAGCUAUUAUUUUUCUCCUGCCCAGCCUCUUGGAAACAGCACUUCAGUCUUCGUCAGGGGCACCACCCUGCCCCGCCCUGUCCCUGCGCAUCAUUCGCUUGGCCAAGAACUGUGGCCCGGCCCAUCAGUGCCUCCCCGCUCCACUGGACCCCACCCCACCCAAAUUCAUUGUCCACGCAGCCACAGGAGG